rnacentral:rRNA from 1 species
ACUCCUACGGGAGGCAGCAGUGGGGAAUUUUCCGCAAUGGGCGAAAGCCUGACGGAGCAAUCUCGCGUGAGGGAUGACGGCCUAUGGGUUGUAAACCUCUUUUUUCAGGGAGGAAUAAAAUGACGUGUACCUGAAGAAUAAGCAUCGGCUAACUCCGUGCCAGCAGCCGCGGUAAGACGGAGGAUGCAAGUGUUAUCCGGAAUCACUGGGCGUAAAGCGUCUGUAGGUGGUUUAAUAAGUCAACUGUUAAAUCUUGAGGCUCAACCUCAAAAUCGCAGUCGAAACUAUUAGGCUAGAGUAUAGUAGGGGUAAAGGGAAUUUCCAGUGGAGCGGUGAAAUGCGUAGAGAUUGGAAAGAACACCGAUGGCGAAGGCACUUUACUGGGCUAUUACUAACACUCAGAGACGAAAGCUAGGGUAGCAAAUGGGAUUAGAUACCCCAGUAGUCCUAGCCGUAAACAAUGGAUACUAGAUGUUGAACAGAUCGACCUGUGCAGUAUUAAAGCUAACGCGUUAAGUAUCCCGCCUGGGAAGUAUGCUCGCAAGAGUGAAACUCAAAGGAAUUGACGG